AUGGCAGCGCGCGUGCGCGAAGGAAUUCUGGGCUUUGUAGUUCCAGCCACAGCCGCAACUACCCGUGGGUCCGGAACCUAGAAGUAGAGCUCCUGAGACUAGUGGUUGGCGUACCUUGGUGGCCACUUAGCUCUGUAGUUAACUUGCUUAUAGAGGCAUGAUUGUGACCCCAGGAUUGGGCUUUUUGGAAGAAAAUCGGAAGUGCGUUGUCACGAACCAGAGCUGCCCGGAUCUGGCAAAUUGGCGCGGUUCCCAGAACCGCCUAACAGGAAGCUAAUCAGCGGCGGACACUCGGAAGAGGCCCUGAAGGUAGAAGGAGGAAAGGAUACGGAGACCUCCAGAAAAGAAUACCAGCUUGGAGCCCAAAGUGUCCUUCCCGCAACACGUGAAAACGAGAUUUCCUUCCCUUUUUCAAACACCACUAGCAAAGGGUACACAGCCCCUGUGAGGGCCAGUAUGGGAAUCUAAGCAAGACAAUGCGGGAGUCCCUCGAAGACUUUGAAGAAGCGAGAAGAGCAAUGAGGCUGUGUAGCAUAACUUUGUAUUAGGUGUUGACUGUGUUAAGCUCUUUCGUGAGGAGGAAAUCCCUCUCCCAUCCUUACGCACGAAUUUAGAGAAGAAAAAUCUCAAAAGAGGUUAAGCAGCUUUCCAAGGCUAUAAAACUAAUUAGUGGCCGAACCAAAA